rnacentral:sRNA from 1 species
GAAAUAGGAAGUUCGACUAAAACCGUCACGUCCUGUGACAACGUCGAACGAUCCCACAUCGAGUGGG